UGCCCNCUGAUAAUAAAUUAAAGGGCUGCAGUAUUUUGACUGUACAAAGGUAGCAUAAUCAUUUGUCAUUUAAUUGAUGACUAGUAUGAAAGAUUGGAUGAAAUAUAAACUGUCUUAAUAAUAAAUAUAAAAUUUAAUUUUUUAAUUAAAAAGUUAAAAUAAAUUAAAAAGACGAGAAGACCCUAUAGAGUUUUAUUUAUUGUUUGAUGAAAAUUUUUUGUUAAAUUUUUACUAAUUUUAAUUAGGGAAUAAAUUUUAUUGGGGUGAUAAAAAAAUUUAAGGAACUUUUUAAAGAUAAAAACAUAAAUAAGUGAGUUAAUGAUCCAAUUUUAAUGAUUAAAAGAAAAAAUUACCUUAGGGAUAACAGCGUAAUUUUUUUUUUUAGUUCUUAUAAAAAAAAAAGUUUGCGACCUCGAUGUUGGAUUAAGAUAAAAUUUAAAUGCAGAAGUUUAAAGUUUUGA
rnacentral:rRNA from 1 species